AUUGAACGCUGGCGGCAGGCCUAACACAUGCAAGUCGAGCGGAUGAAGGGAGCUUGCUCCUGGAUUCAGCGGCGGACGGGUGAGUAAUGCCUAGGAAUCUGCCUGGUAGUGGGGGAUAACGUCCGGACACGGGCGCUAAUACCGCAUACGUCCUGAGGGAGAAAGUGGGGGAUCUUCGGACCUCACGCUAUCAGAUGAGCCUAGGUCGGAUUAGCUAGUUGGUGGGGUAAAGGCCUACCAAGGCGACGAUCCGUAACUGGUCUGAGAGGAUGAUCAGUCACACUGGAACUGAGACACGGUCAAGACUCCUACGGGAGGCAGCAGUGGGGAAUAUUGGACAAUGGGCGAAAGCCUGAUCCAGCCAUGCCGCGUGUGUGAAGAAGGUCUUCGGAUUGUAAAGCACUUUAAGUUGGGAGGAAGGGCAGUAAGUUAAUACCUUGCUGUUUUGACGUUACCAACAGAAUAAGCACCGGCUAACUUCGUG
rnacentral:rRNA from 1 species